rnacentral:rRNA from 1 species
AUUGAACGCUGGCGGCAGGCCUAACACAUGCAAGUCGAGCGAGCGGCGGACGGGUGAGUAAUGUAUGGGGAUCUGCCCGAUAGAGGGGGAUAACUACUGGAAACGGUGGCUAAUACCGCAUACCAUCAGAUGAACCCAUAUGGGAUUAGCUAGGAGGUGGGGUAAAGGCUCACCUAGGCGACGAUCCAUAGCUGGUCUGAGAGGAGGAUCAGCCACACUGGGACUGAGACACGGCCCAGACUCAUACGGUAGGCAGCAGUGGGGAAUAUUGCACAAUGGGCGAAAGCCUGAUGCAGCCAUGCCGCGUGUAUGAAGAAGGCCUUAGGGUUGUAAAGUACUUUCAGCGGGGAGGCGUUACCCGCAGAAGAAGCACCGGCUAACUCCGUGCCAGCCGCCGCGGUAAUUC